rnacentral:hammerhead_ribozyme from 1 species
AUCCAGCUGAUGAGUCCCAAAUAGGACGAAACGUGCAUCAAACUGGAU